CUCGCAAGAGAACCGGAACACAGGUGCUGCAUGGCUGUCGUCAGCUCGUGUCGUGAGGAUGUUGGGUUAAGUCCCGCAACGAGCGCAACCCUUGUCAUUAGUUGCCAUCAUUUGGUUGGGCACUCUAAUGAGACUGCCGGUGACAAACCGGAGGAAGGUGGGGAUGACGUCAAGUCCUCAUGGCCCUUAUGGGUAGGGCUUCACACGUCAUACAAUGGUCGGUACAGAGGGUUGCCAACCCGCGAGGGGGGAGCUAAUCCCACAAAGCCGAUCGUAGUCCGGAUCGCAGUCUGCAACUCGACUGCGUGAAGUCGGAAUCGCUAGUAAUCGUGGAUCAGCAUGUCACGGUGAAUACGUUCCCGGGUCUU
rnacentral:rRNA from 1 species